UGGGGAAUAUUGGGCAAUGGGCGCAAGCCUGACCCAGCAACGCCGCGUGAAGGAUGAAGGCUUUCGGGUUGUAAACUUCUUUUAUCAGGGACGAAAUAAAUGACGGUACCUGAUGAAUAAGCCACGGCUAACUACGUGCCAGCAGCCGCGGUAAUACGUAGGUGGCAAGCGUUAUCCGGAUUUACUGGGUGUAAAGGGCGUGUAGGCGGGACUGCAAGUCAGGUGUGAAAACCACGGGCUCAACCUGUGGCCUGCAUUUGAAACUGUAGUUCUUGAGUGCUGGAGAGGCAAUCGGAAUUCCGUGUGUAGCGGUGAAAUGCGUAGAUAUACGGAGGAACACCAGUGGCGAAGGCGGAUUGCUGGACAGUAACUGACGCUGAGGCGCGAAAGCGUGGGGAGCAAACAGGAUUAGAUACC
rnacentral:rRNA from 1 species